rnacentral:rRNA from 1 species
UACGUAGGGUGCGAGCGUUGUCCGGAAUUAUUGGGCGUAAAGGGCUCGUAGGCGGUCUGUCACGUCGGGAGUGAAAACUCGGGGCUUAACCCCGAGCCUGCUUCCGAUACGGGCAGACUAGAGGUAUGCAGGGGAGAACGGAAUUCCUGGUGUAGCGGUGAAAUGCGCAGAUAUCAGGAGGGACACCGGUGGCGAAGGCGGUUCUCUGGGCAUGUCCUGACGCUGAGGAGCGAAAGUGUGGGGAGCGAACAGG